rfam:Crassostrea gigas strain 05x7-T-G4-1.051#20 contig30272, whole genome shotgun sequence.
UAGCUCAUUGGGUAGAGCACCUGACUAGAGUUUCUGGAGGCCUGGGUUCAAAUCCCAG